rnacentral:rRNA from 1 species
AUAAUAAUUAGGUUUUUAAUUGAAAUCUAGAAUGAAUGAUUGGACGAGAUACAGGCUGUUUUAUAAUAAUUAAUUAAAACUUAAUUUUUUAGUCAAAAAGCUAAAAUUUCAUUAAAAGACGAGAAGACCCUAUAAAUCUUUAUAAUAAAUUUAUUUUAAUAAAUUAUUUUAUUUAAAUUAAUAGUUUUAAUAAUAAAUUAUUUUAUUGGGGUGAUAUAAAAAUUUAAUGAACUUUUUUAUUAAUAUUUCUUAAAUUAAAGAUUUUUAAAAAUAUGAUCUACUAUUAGUAAUUCAGAGAAUAAGAUACUUUAGGGAUAACAGCGUAAUUUUAAUUUUAAGUUCUCAUUAAAAUUAAAGAUUGC